UCGAACGAAGCGAUUUAGCGGAAGUUUUCGGAUGGAAGCCAAAUUGACUGAGUGGCGGACGGGUGAGUAACGCGUGGGUAACCUGCCUCAUACAGGGGGAUAACAGUUAGAAAUGACUGCUAAUACCGCAUAAGCGCACGAGGAUGCAUGUUCUUGUGUGAAAAACUCCGGUGGUAUGAGAUGGACCCGCGUCUGAUUAGCUAGUUGGAGGGGUAACGGCCCACCAAGGCAACGAUCAGUAGCCGACCUGAGAGGGUGACCGGCCACAUUGGGACUGAGACACGGCCCAAACUCCUACGGGAGGCAGCAGUGGGGAAUAUUGCACAAUGGGGGAAACCCUGAUGCAGCAACGCCGCGUGAGUGAAGAAGUAUUUCGGUAUGUAAAGCUCUAUCAGCAGGGAAGAAGAUGACGGUACCUGAGUAAGAAGCCCCGGCUAACUACGUGCCAGCAGCCGCGGUAAUACGUAGGGGGCAAGCGUUAUCCGGAUUUACUGGGUGUAAAGGGAGCGUAGACGGCUGCGCAAGUCUGAAGUGAAAGCCCGGGGCUCAACCCCGGGACUGCUUUGGAAACUGUGUAGCUAGAGUGCUGGAGAGGCAAGCGGAAUUCCUAGUGUAGCGGUGAAAUGCGUAGAUAUUAGGAAGAACACCAGUGGCGAAGGCGGCUUGCUGGACAGUAACUGACGUUGAGGCUCGAAAGCGUGGGGAGCAAACAGGAUUAGAUACCCUGGUAGUCCACGCCGUANACGAUGAAUGCUAGGUGUUGGGGAGCAAAGCUUCUCGGUGCCGCCGNAAACGCAAUAAGCAUUCCACCUGGGGAGUACGUUCGCAAGAAUGAAACUC
rnacentral:rRNA from 1 species